rnacentral:rRNA from 1 species
GCUGGCGGCGUGCCUAACACAUGCAAGUCGAGCGGGAAAGGUUUCCUUCGGGAAGCGAGUACAGCGGCGAACGGGUGAGUAACACGUAGGUAACCUGCCCCAAGGUCUGGGAUAACCUGUCGAAAGGCGGGCUAAUACCGGAUAAGACCACGAGAGUCUUGGCUCUCGCGGUAAAAGAUGGCCUCUGCUUGCAAGCUAUCACCUCGGGAUGGGCCUGCGCGCCAUUAGCUUGUUGGUGAGGUAACGGCUCACCAAGGCCGAGAUGGCUAGCUGGUCUGAGAGGAUGGCCAGCCACACUGGGACUGAGACACGGCCCAGACUCCUACGGGAGGCAGCAGUGGGGAAUAUUGCGCAACGGGCGAAAGCCUGACGCAGCGACGCCGUGUGGGUGAUGAAGGCCUUCGGGUCGUAAAGCCCUGUCAGAGGGGACGAAAUCUCACCGACCCAAUACGUCGGUGACUUGACGGUACCCUCAGAGGAAGCACCGGCUAACUCCGUG